GNAAACGCUAGCGGCAGGCUUCAUACAUGCAAGUCGAGGGCGGUUAGGUUCUUUCGGGGACUUAACUGACCGGCAAACGGGUGCGUAACGCGUAUGUAACCUACCCACAACAGAGGAAUAGCUCCAAGAAAUUGGAAUUAAUGCUUCAUAAUACACAAGGGCGGCAUCGUUCUUAUGUUAAGGGUUCUGUUAUCAGUUCUGGUUGUGGCUGGGCAUGCGUCCCAUUAGCUAGUUGGUUUGGUAACGGCAGACCAAGACGACGAUGGGUAGGGGUUCUGAGAGGAAGUGCCCCCACACUGGCACUGCGAUACGGGCCAGACUCCUACGGGAGGCAGCAGUAGGGAAUAUUGGGCAAUGGACGCAAGUCUGACCCAGCCAUGCCGUGUGCAGGAAGACAGUCUUCGUGACUGUAAACUGCUUUUAAACAGGAAUAAAGAUAGGGAUGCGUCCCUGUUUUGAAUGUACUGUAAGAAUAAGCACCGGCUAACUCCGUGCCAGCAGCCGCGGUAAU
rnacentral:rRNA from 1 species